UGAAAGGUCAGCAGACCGGCAGCGUUACAAAUUCAUCACCCGAAGCACUGUCUGCCUUUUCAGCUUUCCUUUUGGGUGCAGUCUCAAAGAGUAUCGCCACCUGUUUAACGUAUCCAGCCAUCAGGUGUAAAGUCACGAUCCAGGCUGCUGAUCCAGAUGAUGAUGGGACUGAAGAACCUCAUCAGCUAAA